rnacentral:rRNA from 1 species
UACGUAGGUGACAAGCGUUGUCCGGAAUUACUGGGCGUAAAGCGUGCGCAGGCGGUUUUGCAAGCCGGAUGUGAAAUCCCCGGGCUCAACCUGGGAAUGGCAUUUGGGACUGCAAGGCUCGAGUGCGGCAGAGGAGACUGGAAUUCCUGGUGUAGCAGUGAAAUGCGUAGAUAUCAGGAGGAAUACCGAUGGCGAAGGCAGGUCUCUGGGCUGACACUGACGCUCAUGCACGAAAGCGUGGGGAGCAAACAGG